rnacentral:rRNA from 1 species
AAAAGAAACUAACAAGGAUUCCCCCAGUAACGGCGAGUGAAGCGGGAAGAGCUCAUAUUGUAAAUCUGCCACUUGGUGGUCGAAUUGUAGUCUGGAGAGGCGAGGCUAGCCGUCGGCGGGGACGAAGUCUCUUGGAAGAGAGCAUCAAGGAGGGUGAUAAUCCCGUUGUUGUCCCCGCGCGACGCGCGUCCGGCCCGUUUUCGUCGAGUCGAGUUGCUUGGGAUUGCAGCUCAAAGCGGGUGGUAAAUUCCAUCUAAAGCUAAACACGCGUGGGAGACCGAUAGCGAACAAGUACCGUGAGGGAAAGAUGCAAAGAACUUUGAAAAGAGAGUCAAAGAGUGCCUGAAAUUGCUGAAAGGGAAGCGAAGGAAAUCAGUGUCUGGCGGUUCCGCUUCUCCCGCCUUCCUCGGAAGGCAGGAUCGCGUUUCCGUCGUGGCCAGGGGCGGGUAGCGUUGCGGGAGUCUGCGCCUCGGGAGGUACGUCUCUCCUUGUGGGAGAUGGAAUGCCGUGGCGUGUCGUCGCGAUGGUGGCCGGCCCUGACGAAAUGGUUUUCUUCAC